UCUUGAUAUUUCACAAGUUAUAUAUAUAUCUUAAUUAAUCUUGAUAUUAAUUAGUGAAGUGUUUUAAUCUGACUUUGAAGCCCAAUUAAUUACCGAGGUUAAAAAACAUUCUUUCUUUGUACUAAUGAUUUGGUUCCAAUCAUUGUCAUUCUUUAACUUGAAUUUUUUUUUCCUUUAUUUGACAGAUUUGUUCGGGUACUUACAAAGUUUGCCCAACAUAAAUUUAUUGUAUUAGUCUAGAAAUGUAAGAAUAAGCGAAUUUGAUGUAGUUGGUAAAUAUGGGUAUUCUCCAAAAUUAUUGAGCAGAGUCUAGAGGUCAAUUAUGGAGUUGCAAUUAUUGCUUUUUA
rnacentral:misc_RNA from 1 species